GACGAACGCUGGCGGCGUGCUUAACACAUGCAAGUCGAACGGUGAAGGGAUCAGCUUGCUGGUUCUGGAUGAGUGGCGAACGGGUGAGUAACACGUGAGUAACCUGCCCCCUUCUUCUGGAUAACCGCAUGAAAGUGUGGCUAAUACGGGAUAUUCUGCGCCUGCUGCAUGGUGGGUGUGGGAAAGAUAUUGUUUCGGUGGGGGAUGGGGUCGCGGCCUAUGAGCUUGGGGGUGGGGUGAUGGCCUGCCGGGGCGGUGACCGGUAGGCGGCUUGUGAGGGGGGACGGUGAGAGGGGGACUGGGAACCGGGCGAGUGUGCUACGGGAGGGAGCAGUGGGGGAUACUGCAGAAGGGGAGAAAGCAUGAUGCGGCGACGCCGGGUGAGGGAUGGAGGCGUUCGGGUUGUGAACCUCUUUGGUGAGUGAAGCAGGCGUGUGCGUUGUGGGUGGGUUGACGGUAGCUGGAUAAGAAGCGCCGGCUAACUACGUG
rnacentral:rRNA from 1 species